CGCGAAUUAAUAGGUACAUAUUUAUUUAUCAUCUUCUUCAUUAGUUUCCUGUUUUUGGAAAGAUAGAGCGAACGAAAUUAUUAUACAUUUUAUUGCAACUACUUAUGCAAACCUGUGCAACGAUAAGCACGUCUUAAAUUAUAAUGGCAAAGGAAAUGAUGAUUGUGUUUGUCUAUGACACGAUGAAAACUGACGAAUUUGAUGAUCCCGUGAAAUCUGUAAUUUACUUUCAUCCACCAUGGGUAUCUGAGACGCAAAAACUGCUUUUAUGUGGUCAAUUAAUGGGAACGGCAUAUUUUCUAAAAGAGGUUCUUUCAAGGCCAAGGAUAAUUUCUCUGCAAAGUGGCAAGUUUGCAAUUAAAUCUUUCGGCAGAUUUGUUCUGGCUGUUGGAUCAGAUCGAAACAUUUCUAAGGUGGUUUUGGAGCACCGCGCUAACUUUCUUUAUGCUUUGAUAAAAAUGUAUCAUGGAGAUCUUAACAUAUUAUAUGAGGACGUAGGCGCUGCAUGUCAACAAACUAAAUUUUCCGACAAAGUUUACAAUAUAAUGGAAAGUUAUUUGCCAUUAAUGCAAUGCAACGGGAAUAUUUUUCAAAAUGUUUCUAGUUUAAAAGUACCAAAGAGCGCCAGUACUCUCUAUUUGGAGACAACGCAAAUUUUGCAGAGUUUUCAACAAACCUUAGGAGUUUUAGGUGGAACUAUUCUGUAUCACAACAAAGUCGUCGCUAGUCAACUAUCGGAUAGCCUAACGAAAAUAAUCACAGUAUCUGAUUUAUAUCGAACCAAAUGUUCCGAACACAUAUCGGCCAACUAUCACAUUCCGGUUGGAGUUUCUCUUAUCAAUGCAUACAUUCCAGCGAGUGACUACGCAGACCUCGUACGCUUGUCAAAUCAGUCAUUUAAUUUAUUUUCGAAUCUCGCCACUAAAGAUAUUGUUUCAUUUUCGAUGCGUAAAAAACCAUUUUCUAGGGAUUCUCAUGCUAUGAUGAAGCGGGUUAAGUCAUUGAUAUUUACUAAUAUACCAGAGGAGGACACUGACGAUGGAAAGGGGGCAACAAAGCAAACAAAAAAAAAUAUUUUAAACAGACCUACACACUUGCCCUUAUUGUUUAAAAAUCCUUCUGCAUUAGAAACAAUGGAGUCAGGAUUUAAUUCUAUAAAUUUUGAUGAAUCUGAUAGCUUCCCUAGUUUUAUAGGAAAGACUAGUGUAUGUUCUACUCCAAUGACAGAAAACAAAUUGCUGCCCCAUGGCAACCUGCUAUCAAUCUGCGCAGUCAAUAAAGAUAGUAUUCAACCGAAUGAACUGGAACAGUCUACAUGUGCUCAAAUGAACGAGUAUGCUGAACUGAGUGAAAAUAGUUAUGCAGACGCAAUUGGAAUAAAACCUUUCAAUCCGCGCAGUAAUUCGAAUCGCAGGAGAGCGUCAUUUUCGGACGUAACAGAAUUUGCAGCAUUAGAAAACGAUAAGAACGAUCAUACCGAAGUCUCAGACAAUAACAAGUACGUGCAAAAGCUAAAGAAUCCUUGGAAUAAAUACUAUUAUAAAACUGUAACUGAUCCAGUAUACCCUAUAUAUAAUGCCAAAGGAAAUUUGAUUUCCUACAGUCUUUUCAAAGAAUUUUUAGAGCUUAACUACAACGAGCUAAAGGAAUGUACUAAGUCUAUUGCUAUUUCGAAUAGUUUGUCUCGUGCUAUAGAAACUAAAUAUAUAGAUUCAGCUGAUAAAGAAAAACCAAGUUCUGAAUCAUGUAUAGUUCCUGAGAGUAUUUCACAAAGAAAUACUAAACACACUAGAAAGGGAUUAAGUCUACCUCUUAAAUCUUGGAAUACUGAUGUGAAAAAUACCGAUAUAUUUGAUCAUAGUGUGAAUUGCAACGUUUUUGAUUCCCCCGUUCGUCGCCGAAACAUCUCAGGCCUGCAAUUAACACCUUUAAUGUCCAAGCUUACGCUACUAGCUAUGAAUGAUCAACAUUCUAGUGGUUUCUCUAGCUGGGACACGACGCCUGGAAAUAAUUUAACCAAUUCUUUAACACCACUAGAACAUAACCCAAAACGGAAAAAGUCCAAACCUUUCACACAAUCUAAUUGUGAUAACAAAGAUGCAUCUGAAUACGAAUUAAACAAGCUAGUAAAAGUGGAGCUUUUCGUUUGUGUACAGCAAAAUAUGACUCUUGUGUUAAUGCUUCAAGAAAAAAGUUGCGAAAAAGAAGAUAUGAUACAUUCGUUGUUUGAAACCUGCGUGUCAAAAUUAUGCCGUAUAGAGAAUAGCUUGCAUCAAGCAAUGAGCAUCAAUGUAGAGGGCUGCAACAAAGGAGAUGGAAACUAUAGUUUUAUAUGUCUUGAUGCAAAAUGGGAUGUUAACAACAGAUGCGGUCCGUGGAGUCCUAAUGAUCUUUUAAUAUUGAACUCCCUACAUAAUGACUUCUAUUACAACCGGAAACUUAUAGAGCUUUCAUUGAGCACACCACAGAUGACCUUCAUAGCGUAAUGGCGAAAUUACGGCAUCACGAAACAAAAUACAGAUGCCACCGGUCCAGGGCCAGUCCAGGCAGAAUCGUAAUCGUGUUCCCAACCUUCCUUAACAAAACAGCAGCGUGUCCAUGAUGUAGUCGAAACUCGAAACAAAUCGUAUCACAUACACAUGUGUUUAAAGCUGCCUAGCGGAACCUGGGAUGCCAGAUUUUUGCAAAAAAUAAUCUGCUUCUACCCGAAACUGUUCGAAAUAAUUCCCCAAAUCUGCACCAACAUGUAUCACAUCAUUGGGAGACGAAUUGCACUACAUUCGUAGUCCUACUUCAAGCCUGCGCCCGUGCCACUAGGCAUGGACCCUUGUACUUUUUCACUAAGUGGAAACGCAAUGCUACGAACGGAAAGGAGUUUAUUAUUAACUAAAAAGAUAAGUGUUUAAUGAAAUAAUGUUUUAGUAACCAUUUUCUCUUUCCAGGAUUAUUCCACCACACUCUGUUACGCUUAUCACGACGAUUUAAAUACACUUGACGGCAUCUUUUUCGCAAGAAAUGGUUUUUGGCGUCAUAAGCUAGCUAAUAAUUACGAAAUAUUGCAUUGAUGUGCUUUCUUACAGCCGUAAUAAACGUAAGAGAGGAGGUAUAAAGAGAUCUCUCAUUUGCAAUUAGGACCUGUUCAAAAAUCAGGCGAGAUUUAGUCUACAAAAGGACCUUUUAGUUAGGAAACGAAAUAUAGUGACCCAGCUUUGGCAAUAUUGCUCAUAUGCGACUUACCUAUCUACACCCACCCAAAAUAGACCAUUUUUGCUGGACUUGCCGAGCAGAUUUCCUAUCAUCUACAAUCCGUUAAGAAUUCGCGCGAAUUUGAUGUUUUCGACGACACCCCAUUAGCCGUUUGCCAUACGUACGAAUGCCAUAAUGGACGGGAACCAUAAUGUACGUUUGCCAUAAUUUAUACUUUUCAAGUUUUGGUAUAUGGUAUGAUGGUCCAAAGCUACACUUCGACCAGUUCAAAGCUUGAAGGACCAGCGCGACGAAAUCGACAUACAUGGAACAGGGGCUUCAAGUUGAUGCAAUUUAUACGGAUCUAAAGGCAGCCUUCGAUAAAGUUAAUCACCAAAUCUUGCUAACCAAACUUGACCGUUUAGGGGUAUCAACAAACCUUAUUAACUGGUUCAAGUCGUACCUGACUGAUCGUCGACUGUGUGUAAAACUGGGCUCAACAGAAUCAGAAUAAUUCCAUAAUCGUUCAGGGAUCCCAUAUGGCAGUAAUUUACGGCCAUUACUAUUUAUCAUAUUUUUCAACGACGUUAGCCAAUGCUUACCGGAAGGUUGCAAACUACUGUAUGCCAAUGACCUUAAAAUUUCCUGGGCAAUCAAAACCUCCACUGACUGCCUGGUGCAAACGCAACUUCCUAGUGAUUAGCGUAGCUAAAUGCUCAGUAGUCACUUUUACAAGGAAAAAGCACCCGAUUCAAUGGACGUACAUGAUAGGAAAUGAACACGUAGAUAAAAUAAACGUAGUACGUUACCUUGGGGUUAUGCUAGACUCGGAAUUGAACUUUCGGGAGCAUUACAGUCACAUCAUUGCCAAAUCUCGGAGAAAUCUUGGGUUUAUUCUCCGCGUCUCAACUGAGUUCCGUGACCCGUACUGCUUGCGCGCCUUGUAGUUCAGCCUGGUUCGAGCAGUCUUGAAAACAGCUGCUAUUGUAUGGAGCCCGUUUCGUAGUGUUUGGACAGCUAAAAUCGAAAAGAUCCAGUCACGGUUCAUGAAACAUGCCUUGAGAUUCAUUCCUUCGCGAAACCCAGAUGAGGUACCAUCCUACGAAUCACUAUGCCGUCUGCUGGGAAUAGACACCCUUGAAAAGCGGCGAAACAUCCAAAGGACGACCUUCGUCGGCAAGGUUCUACUGGGAGAAAUCGAUGCACCUUGGAUCCUCGCCAUAAUAAACCUCAAUGUACAGCCACGUCAUGUCCGACAUUGGAAUAUUAUGAGACUACAACAAACAACAUAGAACAGACUACGCACAGAAUGAGCCCAUCAGAUCAAUUUGUUUGUUAUUUAACCGGUACUAUUGUUUGUUUGAUUUUAAUGUUAGCUCUAGUGUUUUUCGUGACCGUUUGACAAUUUUAUAUGUAAACCCCAUAGUUUUAUCUCUUAUUUCGUAAGUGUUCAUAUAGACCAUUUAUCCGAUGAAUGUAAACAAUAAAUAACAAAUAAGAGGCCUUAUUGAUUCAGUUUGAAAAAAUGGCUUUGUCGCUUUUCUCUUCAUAAAAGGUAUCUCGAUGCAAGAACUAGGAAAAACAAUACGAGAGGUCGAUAAACCUAGGAAAACAAAUAGACCUAGACAGAUGUGAUUUCUGCGAGGGCUGCCCCCUCCCCCACAGUGGCCGGCAGGUCACCGGCGAACACUUGCGGCCGUCUCGCCUUGAAUCACGUAGGAAAUGUUGAAUAUAUGGAUUAUGGCAAACGUACAUUAUGGUUAUCGUACACUAUGGCAAACAUACAUUACGGCAUUCGUCUUUAUGGCUCCCGUCCAUUAUGGCAAACGCUACCGUAUUUAUGGCUCUCGUCUGGUCACAGUUCGGAUAUAGCAUACAACGAAUUCUUCAUCACUUCUCUAUGUAAUGAUCAACUUAUCUAUAUUU